CUGGGAGGGAUGCUACUGGCAUCUAGUGGGUAGAAGCCUGGAUGCUGCUAAAGAUCCUACACUGCACAAGGGAGCUGUUCAGAGCAA